GACGAACGCUGGCGGCGUGCUUAACACAUGCAAGUCGAACGGAAAGGCCCUGCUUUUGUGGGGUGCUCGAGUGGCGAACGGGUGAGUAACACGUGAGUAACCUGCCCUUGACUUUGGGAUAACUUCAGGAAACUGGGGUUAAUACCGGAUAGGAGCUCCUGCUGCAUGGUGGCGGUUGGAAUGUUUCGGCGGUUGGGGGUGGACUCGCGGCUUAUCAGCUUGUUGGUGGGGUAGUGGCUUACCAAGGUUUUGACGGGUAGCCGGCCUGAGAGGGUGACCGGCAACAUUGGGACUGAGAUACGGCCCAGACUCCUACGGGAGGCAGCAGUGGGGAAUAUUGCACAAUGGGCGGAAGCCUUAUGCAGCAACGCCGCGUGCGGGAUGACGGCCUUCGGGUUGUAAACCGCUUUCGCCUGUGACGAAGCGUGAGUGACGGUAAUGGGUAAAGAAGCACCGGCUAACUACGUGCCAGCAGCCGCGGUAA
rnacentral:rRNA from 1 species